rnacentral:lncRNA from 1 species
AGCACCUUGCUGCGAGCCGUUUUCUCCUAGACCGUGGAGCCAGGCCAGAUAACCCGCAUCCUAUCCGCCCUGCGCAUUUCGCCAGGGACAGAAACAGACGGUUUGCAGUACGGUCAGACAUGGAGGAUUACAACAACAACCUAUGGUGAAACUACCCCUGCUUUGGUAAAGCGUUGCGUUCCAACAGUAGUGGCUGGGAUGACUAAUUGCAGACUAGUCAGGACUGCAAACGAUCUUGAAAGAAUUCCAGGGAUUUCUUUCAGGGAGGCACACUCCGGUAAGCAGCGCCCAGUUGAAGACAUCGAAGAUGAACAACAAACCAGAGUACUCCCACGAUUCCUCCCAGUCACUCCCCUGCCAAAGUAUAACCGCUACCCGCACUAUUUAGUCCUAAUUUUCAUGUUAAAUAUAAGAGAACGUUAGUGAGCUCUCCUUUUUUUGUUGUUGUAUCCAAAGCAAAACUUCACUUCAAAAAUAGUAUAAUCUGCAUAGUAGUUAAAUUGCCAUAUUGUAAAUUCACCCUAACCUUCAUGAAGACACUAUGCAGUAUAGCACAC